UACAGAGGGUGAGAGCGUUAAUCGGAAUUAUUGGGCGUAAAGAGCUCGUAGGCGGUUUGUCGCGUCUGCUGUGAAAACUCGGGGCUUAACCCUGGGCCUGCAGUGGGUACGGGCAGACUAGAGUGCGGUAGGGGAGAAUGGAAUUCCCGGUGUAGCGGUGAAAUGCGCAGAUAUCGGGAGGAACACCGGUGGCGAAGGCGGUUCUCUGGGCCUUACCUGACGCUGAGGAGCGAAAGCGUGGGGAGCGAACAGG
rnacentral:rRNA from 1 species